rnacentral:tRNA from 1 species
GGCCCCGUGGUCAAGUGGUUAAGACACCGGCCUUUCACGCCGGUAACAGGGGUUCGAAUCCCCUCGGGGUCACCA